GUCAGCUGCGGGGGUUGCCCGCGAGAGGGCCGUUCCUGGGCGAUCAUUUAUCAAUGUCACCCACAUAAUGAUUCUCUCUGCAGCCUCCUAUUGAUGAAGAUAAUUACAUUAGCUCAGAGUGACUGAUCAAUGAAAAACCACCACACAAAAACUUCUUUACUCCUCUAUAAUACCAAAAACCGAUACAGAAAUAACAUAGAAAGCCUGAUUUUCUUUCCUUUCCCUAUCCACCAAUGGAUUCUGCCCCCCACUCCCCAAAACAGGACGGGGGAGUAAAGUAAGAAAAAAGACCCAGGUUUAUUUCGUUUAGAGGAGGAUGCGAUUUUGUCCGUGAAUGCAUUUUCUCUAAAUGUGUUGGCUUCAUUCCUCCAUUGGUACAGAAUAUCAACGGACUUGCUAAUAACCUAGCCCAGGAACCUCCAGAGUGUCAGAUCAAAUGCAAGCAACAAAGGCUCCCCCGCCCCGCGUCACGCCUUCUCCAAUCCUCCUCUUUGGGGAUGCUCCGGGAAGGGCUACUUCCCGGGGACUUGAGGGGACCAGCGCUCCUAGGGCAAGGCGGAGGCAGCCCGGGCUGAUGCCAGUGAAGGGAUGCCUCAGUCCUCCGGUUGUGUUUCAAGAAUUGCUGGGGCUAUUAUGACAACUGAGGUAAAGUUAAAUAUUUAUACUCCAACGUGUUCUCAUUAUUUUUUGUCUGUUUUGAAGACAUUCGGUGCUUUCAAACCUACUUUAAACAUAAAUCCUGGUCUGGCUGAAGCAGAACCUGUCUCCUGUCACUGAAGUUGACUUUUGGAAAAGUCUUCAUUAAGCUCAGAAGUGAAAGGAAAGUUAUCUGUAAACGAUAUUAGUUUAAAUAUAUAUGUGGAUAUGUACAUAGAGUUCAUUUAAAUAUAUGUGUGGAUGUGUGUAUAUGUAGCACACAUAUUUUACAUAUCUAUUUCCACCUAGUUAUAAUAGAGAAAAGGAAGCAAGUGCCCCC
rnacentral:lncRNA from 1 species